GUGUUUCGUGAAGUGACCUUUCGAUUGUGACUUUUCAUUUGAUCAUAACUACCAAAUAGUUAAGUUCAAUGAAUAUAACCAUUAAUUUCAACGGGCAUAUGUACGAAGAGACACACUAUAAAGAUGUGUCUUUUCAUAUCAUAUUCUUUCACUAAAAGUCACAUCCUUUCACUCUAAGAGUCAUACCCUUUGAUUAGAGUUGCGUCCACUCACUAAGGGUUGCAUCCAUUCACUAAGAGUUGCAUCCAUUCACUAAGGAUUGCAUCCUUUCACGAAGAAUCACAUCCAUUCACUAAAAACAAUAAACAAAAUAUAUUAUUUUAAAAUUUUCCUUACAUAGUUACUUUGAUUUGAUUUAUCUUAUUAUUUUGUUAUUUAUUGUUAUUUUUUUUUUGUUUUAUUAGAAUGUUACAAAUUAGAUUAGAAGGAUAAUGACUAUAUAUAGUUUAUGU
rnacentral:lncRNA from 1 species